GACGAACGCUGGCGGCGUGCUUAACACAUGCAAGUCGAACGGAAAGGCCCUGCUUUUGUGGGGUGCUCGAGUGGCGAACGGGUGAGUAACCCGUGAGUAACCUGCCCUUGACUUUGGGAUAACUUCAGGAAACUGGGGCUAAUACCGGAUAGGAGCUCCUGCUGCAUGGUGGGGGUUGGAAAGUUUCGGCGGUUGGGGACGGACUCGCGGCUUAUCAGCUUGUUGGUGGGGUAGUGGCUUACCAAGGCUUUGACGGGUAGCCGGCCUGAGAGGGUGACCGGCCACAUUGGGACUGCGAUACGGACCAGACUCCUACGGGAGGCAGCAGUGGGGAAUAUUGCACAAUGGGCGGAAGCCUGAUGCAGCAACGCCGCGUGCGGGAUGACGGCCUUCGGGGUGUAAACCGCUUUCGCCUGUGACGAAGCGUGAGUGACGGUAAUGGGUAAAGAAGCACCGGCUAACUACGUG
rnacentral:rRNA from 1 species